UCAGUUGCCGUUGGAGCUCCAGGAAAUGAUCCCAAUAGAUGACAUUAAAUGCUUUAGCUGCUCACAAGUUUAAUGACCAACAGCGUUGCCAGAUGCUGUAAAAUUCCCCUUGUGAGGCAAAGUUGCUCUCAAGUAAAAUUCCCAUCAUCAAGGAAUCAUGACAGCCCAGUUUUUCUUAGGAUCCAGCUCUAGCAAUGCUAAUGUUGUUAUAUAAACACUGGAGUAUGCAGCUGUAAAAAGAAAUAUUCUGAAGAUAUUUCCUUCUUCAAAAUUGAAGGCUGAAAAGGAAUAAAGUCCUUCUGGUCUCUUCCUUGCUGCUAGGGGCUGCAGUAUGGACUUGACUUCCUUUUUCAAUGGUGAAGCCUGCUUUAUUGGCAGCAGCUAGGACAAGUCAAUGCUAUUGAUCCCCAAGGAAGAGUUCAGUUAUUUAUCAGACUGCUGAUUCAUUGAGAGUCCAGUGAAAUGGGAGGAAGUAAUCGCUGAAUUGAAUGAAGAUAGUGUUGCUUCUUGGGACAACAAAGCUCUAGCCAGCCGCUUCGUGGACUGUGCUGGAGUGCCAAGGAAGCAUGCUGGAGCUGGAAUACAGAGAGUUUCACCCUUUAGAUGUACUGGAACCCCACUACCCUCAAAGCUGUGUUUCUUUGGAAUCUUCUUAAGGUACCUACAUGAAGCAGAGCAUAUGGUCCUCUAGUCAGAGUGAUGAAGAACUAGCAGGCACUGCAGCAUCUUGGCUCACUUGCUCUGGUUCCUGAUUCUUCAAUCUAAAAUAUGAGAGAGGAGAACAAUGAGAAGAGUUCAGGUUCUUGAUGAUAUCGGGAGAUGUAGCAGUACUAAGAUGGCGUUACUCCUCAAAUUGGUCUGCAUCUUCAACAUGCCCACUGCACUACCAUCAGAAGAAUACCGGCUGCUGUUCUUUUGCAGAAACUGGCAAGUGGUACUCAAAUGCACACAAAAUAACACGAGGUGAAGGAUAUCAAAAACAAUUGUGAAAAGAAUAAAAUUCCGCUGAAGUAAAUACA